GAAGCCUUGCGAUGUUACAAAGCCAAUUAACUCCCCUCCUACAUAACGACCCACACGCACGCACAUCCACUAUCCCCGGACCCCGGGCCAGUCUCACCUCCUUCCCUCGAUCGCACGCCACUCCCGUAGGAAUCCCGAAUCCCCCCACCCAAAUUCCCGUCUAGCCGUCUACCCGAUCGCCGUCCUUCUCGCUGCCCGUAAACCCUAGCCCAGCCCUCUACCCCCGCCGUCGUUGCCCGUGCGCUGUCGUGCUCGGGCUGCCCCCGCGGCGCCGCGAGCCAAACCCUAGCUGCCUCCUCCAGAUCCCGAUUCCGCAGGGAAGCCGGAGAGGUGAGGGCCGCCCCGCCGCAGAUGGAGCCCGCGGGGGCGCGCAAGGAGUGGCGCGCCGUCCCCGACUCCUCGCUCCGCUCCAAUGGCGCCGAGGAUGCCGCGGAGCAUGGGAAGCUGGGGCAGUCGGAGGAACGAGCUAUCUACGAGGAAGGGGCGGGUGGACUGGGCGACUUCUGUACCAUCACUAUUGAUGGGAGCGGAGGGCUCAGCGAGGACAUCCUGCAGCAGCGCCUGCAAAGUGUCGCACGGCAGCGGGAGGAGCUGCAGCAAGUCGAGAUCGAGUUGCGUGCGCAGGCCAUUGCACACCCGCAGAUCAUCGAGGCGCAACAAAGCUUCCAGGCUGCUGCCAAGGAGCAUGCUGCAGCUGUGGCAAAGAUCAAGGAGCAAUUGCAUGAGCGGGAGCAGUACAUUCUUGAAUUAGAAAUGAAACUCAAUGACAAGGAUAGAGAACUAAAUGCUCUGAAGAUUGAUCAUCAAACGGUGUGGGCAAAUCAAGAUCUUCUCAGAGAACAGACCAAAGAGCUGGCAAGUGUCAGAAGGGAACGUGACAACUCUGAAGCUGAAAGAGCCCAACAUCUUAAACAAAUCCACGAUCUCCAGGAACUUUUGCGAGAAAAAGAAAGCCAGUUCAUUGCAAUAGAGGAACAGCAUAGGGCUGCUCAAGAGAACAUUCUUUACAAAGAUGAGCAGUUGAGGGAAGCCCAUGCUUGGGUUUCUCAAGUUCGAGAAAUGGAUGCAUUGCAGUCUCAGUCCCUACAAGUUGAGUUACGUGAGCGCAUGGAGCAAUUUAAUCAAUAUUGGAUUAGUUCUCAACAACAGUAUGCUGAAAUGCAGCGGAGCCUUCUCCAUACAAUACAACAACUCCAGCAAGAAUUAGCUGAGGCAAGGGAACGGUCUGGUGCACAAAAGGAUGGCCCACAUGUUUCUAGGGAGGGAUCAGCUGAAUCAUCACUUGUUCAAAGCAUAGCGAACAGCGUGACUUCAAAUGGUAGUGCAACUGCAGAUGGGAGCCAGCAACUGUUGAAAAACAAUGGAAGUGUGGAUGUCUCUCUUAAGGGCAAUAAUGCCUCAGCUGUACCUGUUCCAUCUUUAUUGGGAAUAGGUGGUCCGGCUGCGCAUAUUGCUGCAAUGCAUUCUUUUAUGAUUCAUCCUCAAGGCAUUCCUCAACCUUUAGCAUCACCCAACUCUGGCAUUCCUCAGUUUGGCAGUUUUCAGACACAGCCUAUGAUUCAACCAAACUCACAUUGGCCAAAUCAGCAGGAAGUACAAAUUGUCUCACAACCACAAGAUGAAACAAACUAUCAGACAUCCCAAUCAGGUCAGACUGCAUUGCAACAAGACACUAUUAAUACUGAUGAGCUGUCCCCCAAGGCAAGUGAGGGUGGCCAUCCAGACCAUCUUAAUGCCCAGGGGAAACAACAGCAGAGCCCUGCAAGUGCACCUACUGAAUCAACUCAUGAACUUACUGUUGUUGAAACAAACAUAGCUGAACAUGUACCUUAUGAUGAACAACAAAAAACCUUAAAAGAACAGGAUUCACUAUCAAAUAUAAAAAGCCAUGUUGGAAGAGUUGAGCCUCAAGAGCAAAAUGCUGAAUCCAAGGUUUCUACGGUUGAAAGAGCUGCAUCUGACAAGCAAUCUGAACCUCAAUCUAGACAGCAUAAACCUUCAAACUUCCCUCCAACUACCCAGCUUAACUUGAAAAACAGUGCAACAGAGAAUCCUAAUGUUGUAAAUCAGGUUGAUACAAUGAAAUCAGUUACAGGUGGUUUUGGUUCACAGUUACCUCGUGUACCUAAGGAACCUGCUCUCCUAGAUGAGAGAUCUCUAUUGGCUUGUAUUGUACGUGCAGUUCCUGCUGGACCUGAGGGUGGAAUCAGGAUUAGCUCAACUCUGCCAAAUAGGCUUGGGAAAAUGUUGGCUCCUCUUCACUGGCAUGAUUAUAAGAAGCAAUAUGGGAAGCUUGAUGAUUUUGUGGCUAGUCGUCCAGAGCUGUUUGUGAUUGAGGGAGACUUCAUUCACCUUCGUGAAGGAGCACAGCAGAUCAUUUCUGCUACUACAGCUGCUGCAAAAAUAGCUGCUGCUACAGCAUCUUCUGCCCCUUACUCAUCCUUACUGCCUUCUGUUGCUGUUACUCCUGUGGCACAAAGCACUCGGCAAAAGAGGGGCCCUGCAGUUGAUUCCAGAUCAUCAAAUGCAAUUCUUUCUGGAAAUGGCUUCACAGAUCAAUUUAACAUCAUUCAGGGGGUUAGUGACGUACCUGUUUCAGGCAAAGUAAGAAACACCCUAGAUAAUGGCUUCUUAGGUGAAGUUCGAACUGGGCAGCCAUCUGUGCUCACAGCUGCUGCGAAUGGAGCAAGACAUGACAAAGGUACAAAUAAUGUCAUACAGGGUUAUGGUGGAAAGCAACAAGGGAGGUCAACUGGGAUGGCUUACCUUUCCAGAAGAUGAAGUAGUUUUCACUCGCUUUGCGCUGCAGAGGAGGGGCGGUGGCUCUGCAGGGGGAGAACGGUGGCUGCUGCAGCAGGGGGAGACCGGAGGCUGCUGCAGCAGGGGAGACCGGCGGCUCUCUACCGCAGAGGAGGGGCGGCGGCUCUGCAGCAGAGGGGCGCGGCUGUUGCAGAGGAGAGGCGCGCAGAGGAAGGGCGGCGACUGCUGUAGCAGAGGAGGGGCGGCGGCUAUGUGCUGCAGAGGGCGACCGGCGGCUUCAGACGCAAUUGGUUUUGAGGGUGGUGAAGCUGUUGGAAACCAUACAAGUGGCAUUGUUUUGGCCUCCAAACGGCCGAUGCUGAAGAUGACCUGGAUUAAAGUUAUUCUAGAUUUUUUUUGUUGCACCAUUGCUAUUCACAGCGCCUGUAUGAGGGCCUUGUUGUGGCGAAGCCUGCUGAAAUUUUGCGACUAUGUAACUCGUCUGUGCUUGUAUUGUGGUGCACUUGGAAUGAUGUGAAUGUUAUAGCAAAUCUGGGAAAUGUGGUCACAUUUUGAGCUGGCGAGCUGUGGCAUGGUCAAUCCGAAGCUGGGUAUCAGCAUUGGCGUUU